rnacentral:rRNA from 1 species
AUUGAACGCUGGCGGCAUGCCUUACACAUGCAAGUCGAACGGCAGCACGGGAGCAAUCCUGGUGGCGAGUGGCGAACGGGUGAGUAAUAUAUCGGAACGUGCCCAGUCGUGGGGGAUAACGUAGCGAAAGCUACGCUAAUACCGCAUACGAUCUAUGGAUGAAAGCGGGGGGAUCGCAAGACCUCGCGCGAUUGGAGCGGCCGAUAUCAGAUUAGGUAGUUGGUGGGGUAAAAGCCUACCAAGCCUUCGAUCUGUAGCUGGUCUGAGAGGACGACCAGCCACACUGGAACUGAGACACGGUCCAGACUCCUACGGGAGGCAGCAGUGGGGAAUUUUGGACAAUGGGCGCAAGCCUGAUCCAGCAAUGCCGCGUGCAGGAUGAAGGCCUUCGGUUGUAACUAGCUUUUGUACGGUAACGAAACGGACGUACUUU